UAGGCCCCAUAUAUUUUACAUGUUACAAUACUGUUUUUUUUUUGGAAUUUUUUUAAGUGCGAAAGUACUGUAACCAGUGCCCAGCUUGUUAUUCUCAGGACAGCUGUGAUAUGCCGCUUCCCUUCCUUUCUGGUGCAGGCUCGGAAUGAGUAUGAAUAUGACAGAUGGAUUCAGUACAAAGCGUUUUAUAACACCCCUGAUGCUGAUAGAGAGUAUGUGCUGUACUGGGAAAAGAUGGUCAAGGAAAUGAAGUGGCUUGAAAAUCAUGUGCUUAAAGAUUUUCUCGAGUGGGAGCCAAUGCGCUGUAAAGGUUUCUACCAAUCAGUUAAGAUUGCCAGUGGGUUCACCAACAUUGAUUUGGAUCUAGCAUGUCAUAGUUUUGAGG